GAGGGUAUAGCUCAGUGGUAGAGUGCAUGCCUAGCAUGCACAAGGUCCUGGGUUCAAUCCCCAGCACCUCCA
rnacentral:tRNA from 1 species